AGUAACCAUCAAGGGUUGAAAACUUGCAGACUUCCCUUUUUAGGGGAUAGCAGUGGAAGAGUGGAAUGAGAUGCAUAGAGCAAAUUCCCAUCCCCCACCCUCACCCCCACCAAAUGGGAGGUUGGUCCGGUGUCCUGCCCUCCUGGCUGCUGCUGUCAUUUAAUCAUUCCACAUCUUCUGAGACUGGCAUGAACCACCCUCCAUCCUAAAGAACGAGCAGUUCACCUAGGGAAGCAAUACAUUGUCCGUGACAUGUCCUUCGUUGCACACUGAGCCGGAGGGCAUUCCUGGCUACCCAGUUCUGUAGCAUAUCCCUGGUUCAGGUGUAGGGCAAGCACAUGGUUUGGUUUAAAUUGGCCUUUAGGUCCGCUGUCUGAGGCUUUCUCAGAACUCAGUGGAGGAGAGGCAGAGAUAGCCCGUGGUCCAGGCCUUACCUGAAUGCCUAUCACCUGUCCUCACCUCGGUGCAGCAUGCAGCUUUUCUUCGCCUGCAGCAGCUUUCUUGUGCCUGGAGGGCUAGAACAUUCUUGUUCAACACAAGGUUGGGGAAUUUCUGCUUUUCUAGGGCUGAGGAAUCUGCCCCCGUAUAUCCAAGCAGUUCACUGCUGCUGGCCCCAGCCCAUCUCCUCCUACAUCUGAUAAUCCCUACUGCUUCUUUACCCACCUGCACUCAGUCCAGCAGAGGAAAAAAGAGUGCCCUGUCCUUUACUUAAGUGCUGGUAAAAUACAUCUUUGUUUAUGCUGGGUCAGUUUCUAAGUGGAAUGAAACCGCUCAGAUGGAAACCCUCCACCGCAUCAGGCACCACUGAAUUUCCCUUCUCAGUCCUUCAGUUAGACUCACCAGUAAAAGUGAACGCAGACCAGAACUGUCAUCAUGGGGGCUGCCGCCAUCGACCUCUACCUGUCAUGAAUGCUCAUCUUUUGACUGAGUGUAUCAUACGAACAUUUCAGUUCAGGCUUUUUUGUACAAGCUUGGCCCCGGGCUCACCCUCUCCUGGACACUGUUUUAAAGUGUCACAGCUGCCCUUGCUGCCGGAGGCCCUGAUGUAAAGCUGUGCUCUCUAGAUCCGCGGUUUUAAGUUGGCAGGACUGGUGGAGACUUUCUGUGGCAAUGGAAAAGCCCAUGAACUUAAAAAAAAAAAAAAAAGUAAAAAGGAAAGGAAAAUAGGAAUUGUGCCUCAUCUUUCUUUGAAUGCCGUAUUUAUUAUUCUAGAAAAAGAGAACUUACACAUCGAAAAGAACUAGAGCAUCUACUUCACCCCUCAGGCCGUCUAGGGGGGAAAUACUUCAGAAAAAUGAACAUUUAAUGGAAAACUAAAAAAUCUUCAAAUUUAAUUUUUAAAAAUAGUUUUAUACCAAAUAUCUAUAAGAAUUAUUAAGCAGAUUUAAGGAUUUUGUAAAAUAAGUGCUUCACUUAGCUGAGCACCCGUGUAUCAAAUUACUAAGAUGGUUUCAAAGGAGUUGGACUAGAAGCCACGACAGAGUCCUCCCUGAGCUGCCUACCCUUGAAGGUGCCCCUGCAGUCACAGACACCUCAGGUACCCAGAGGCAGCAGCACUAGACGCUGUUGAGAAGUUAGUAUUUAUGGAGAUUUUUAUUAAAAGAGUUCCCUGCUGCAGAAGCCAGUGGCUAUUGUGAGGGAAAUUCCCUUUGCCUUUAAUUUAUUUGCAUAUUGGAAGUAGAUGGAAUUCUUAGUUGCAUCUUACUUUAAGCUGAAACAUUCUAAAGGGAAGAAACUAAGAACCAGGUGGAAGUUGACUUGAUGCUGCCAAAUCAAACCCAAGAUCUCCUAACUGAACCUUAGGGGCCUGUUUCUCCCAGACAAGCAGUUAGAGUCCCGUUCCCGGAGCCCUUCGUAGUUGGCUGGUGUGUUUACUUUCUGCCGUAGCCAGCCAAGAUGAAUGCACCCUGGCCCUCCGAAAGGAGUUUUACCUCAAUCUAGCUUGACCCUCAUACUUGCGGCUGCCUCAGAGUACGCAUCCAUGCUAGUGUUUAAAAAAAAAAAGUUAGGCAUGCCCUCAACAGCCAGGAACUGAAGCUCUUAUUAAAUGGCAGGCAGAGCUCUUGCCAGCUUUGAUCCAGUCCCCUCUCAGGCUGAGGGGGGCAGUGCCACACUGUAAAGAAUUUCCAGAUGUCUCUUAAAAUGUCAUGAAUAAAAUUAGAAACUGUAGAAGUGUUAAUGUGUCCUAUGGACUCAAUAGCAGAGUUUAUUUUUGUUUUAAAUGGCAAGGCUUCUAGAGUCAAUGAUUGUACGUGUUCCCCACACUGGCUAUGCUUACAGUUCCAUCGCAGAGCAAGAGCUAGUGGCUGGGUUGGCUGGGCAGUGGGGCAUGGCCCCAGCCAGGCCCCAGAAGCCUGAGAGAGGUUGACAGUAGUACAGAAUGAAAACUUGGUUGGGUGUGGGGGGGAGGGGGGGGCGGCAAGCAGGGAGGGGGAAAUGGAGUUUGUUUUACUUAUUGAUAAAGCUUUGUGAACUAAUUUUAUACAAUUCAUAACAUUUGGUGCCUUGUACCCAGUUAUGGUUUGCAUGGGAUUGAAAAGAUAAAGGAAGGGAAAGGAUGCCUCCUUUUCAUUUUAAGUGGCAAAUGGGUCUGUAUAGUGUAAAGAACAUUUGGUAUCAGACUUUUUAAAAGCAUUUCAUUUCAUGUGUGUGAAAGAUAAUUAUUACCAGCAAAUUCUGAAAUCUUACUGUAAUGUCCAAAAUCUGAAAUCUUACUGUAAUGUCCAAAAUCUUUGGAUUUGUGACUCUUCAUCAAAUGGCUGCUUUUCAAGGCAGACUAUGUACCCUGUUCUUUUUUACCACUCCUUUUGUGUUCCAAACAUGAACUCGGGCCUUUUUGGGUAGGCUGGGAGUGCUACCUCUUCCUAAACAUGUACUAUAUACCCUUGUCAGGUUACAUCUUCUAAGUGGAAGGGUUGCUUUCCAGCUGGUUGGGAGAGCACAAAUGUUCAGAAAGGGCCUUUUUUUCCCCUAAUGCUUGGCAACUUAGGGUAGAAGUCAAACAAAAAAAGGAUUCCUCCUGAAGUAUUACUAUUACCUUCAUUAGUUCUGAAGUACUUUUGCACAAAAUUUCAGGAAGCAGUGUAGAACACAUUCCCCUGUAUGUGAACCUUGAAAUUGUAAGGCAAGCCAGUGCACUGUGUAAUAUGCAAAAGAGAAGGCUCGAAGAACCUGUGCCAGCCGCCCGGGCCCCAGCCCCUUUCCCUGGCAGGUGCCGAGCAGCUGUGGAAAGGGAGAAGACUCAGUCCGCUCACCUGCAGAGCUGUUUAUAGCCUGUUCCUUUUACUCGGACCUUAAGGUUUCCAAUGAGCUCACGAGACAUCACCAAAGGGUGUUUAGAAAGCUCACCACUUGAAGCACAUUUGAUAGCUGGUUCCCUCAGCCUAAUUACUGGCUUAAUUAGGUGAGGAGGUUGUACUUUUGGAGAAAAAUCUCCCAUGGCAACUUAGGUUUUUACCCGGUAAGUAUGCAUCUUCCUGGUGGUGGUUUUUUUUUUUU